rnacentral:lncRNA from 1 species
GAUGCAGAAUGUUAAACAUUAAUAUCCAGUCUUCACGUAGGUUUGCAUUUUAUUUUCCAUGAGCGUGGUAUACUGUCUAUGGCCACCUGGGGGCAGUGCCGCGCUGCCGCUUCCUCCCAGCCAGGUUGCGGGUCCCGCGGGGAAUCCGGGUUUACGCCGAACCCGGCCGGGUCCCCAGCCUGCGGAUUCUCCAGCCCUGCCUCAGGUCACCUUUGCAGCCCAGGUGGCCUCACGGGCUGGCUCCUGCCCCCGCGAUGUGAGAACCACGAGUCCAGGGAGGAGAAUCAUUGAACGUUGUUACAGGUCAUUUGCAAGUGUGGGCUCCGUCAAUCAUAACUGUUAUGCGCAUCUUACAGAGGGAGAAACUCACGCUCAGAGAGGCUAAGUAACUUGUUUCAGUUGUCCCAGGCAGAGCCAGCAUGCCCCAGCCUCCCAAGACCCAGUGUUCUUCUUUGUAGAUGUGAUUAAAUUAAGGGCCUUGAAAUGGGGAGAGUAUCUUGGAUUAUCCAGGUGGGCCCAAUGUAAUCACAAGGGUCCUUAUAAGAGGAAGGCAGGAAUUAGAGAAGAUGUGAAGAUAGAAGCAGAGUUUGGAGUGGUGCAGCCACAAGCCAAGGAAUGCGGCCAGCCUCUGGAAGCUGCAAAAGUUCUCUUUUGUUACCCCAAACUCUUCAAUAAAAUCUGAACAGUUUUGUGUGAUGGUUGAAGGAGGUGAUUAAGGACCAAGCAAAAACCAAGAAUGAUCUAACCUACGUCUCCUUGCUGAGGCCACCCAGGGCACCUGCCUUCCUAAAGCUACUAGAAGGAUGCUGACUCCUCCUUCAGAGCUUAAGUGUCAUUUCUUCAGAGAAGCCUUCCUGACCAGCUGGACCGCUAGCACAGCAUAGCAUGGCUGCUAACAGAGCGGCGUGGGUCCGCGUCUGGGAACCGAACCAGGUUGCUGAAAUGGAGCACCGUUGAACUUAACCUCUAGGCCACCGGGGCUGGCCCAGUUAUCAUUCCUUUUAUUUCUCUUUCUUCUUUAUACCUUUCCCUAUUUGUCCAUUCAUUCCACGGGUGUUUAUUAAGCAUUUACUGCAUGCCAGG